rnacentral:tRNA from 1 species
ACUAAUUUGGCAGAUAAGUGCAUCGGAUUUAAGCUCUGAAUAUAAAAUACGUUUUUAUUUAGUA